GUUAGGAAUAUUGGACAAUGGGCGCAAGCCUGAUCCAGCCAUGCCGCGUGAGUGAUGAAGGCCUUCGGGUUGUAAAGCUCUUUAGUCCACGAAUAUAAUGACUGUAGUGGAAGAAUAAGCCCCGGCUAACUUCGUGCCAGCAGCCGCGGUAAUACGAAGGGGGCGAGCGUUAUUCGGAAUCACUGGGCGUAAAGCGUGCGUAGGCUGUUUUGUAAGUCAGAAGUGAAAGCACAGGGCUUAACCCUGGAAUUGCUUUUGAAACUACAAGACUCGAAUUCGGGAGAGGAUAGCGGAAUUGUCAGUGUAGCAGUGAAAUGCGUAGAUAUUGACAGGAACACCAGUGGCGCAAGCGGCUAUCUGGACCGAUAUUGACGCUGAGGCACGAAAGCGUGGGGAGCAAACAGGAUUAGAAACCCGGGUAGUCC
rnacentral:rRNA from 1 species